UACGGAGGGUGCAAGCGUUAUCCGGAUUCACUGGGUUUAAAGGGUGCGUAGGUGGGCAAGUAAGUCAGUGGUGAAAUCUUCGGGCUUAACCCGGAAACUGCCAUUGAUACUAUUUAUCUUGAAUACUUUGGAGGUAAGCGGAAUAUGUCAUGUAGCGGUGAAAUGCUUAGAUAUGACAUAGAACACCAAUUGCGAAGGCAGCUUACUACACAGUUAUUGACACUGAGGCACGAAAGCGUGGGGAUCAAACAGG
rnacentral:rRNA from 1 species